rnacentral:lncRNA from 1 species
AGCAGAAGAAACUGGAACCAACAAAAGAAGACUGAUUUUUUUUUGGAUGCCAUCCUUCUCUGUUAAGGCUUACCACCACACCAACUUUCUCCAAGCCAUUGCCAUGCCACCUUGCCGCCUCAGUUGAUGAGAUCAGAGACCCACCCGACGUCGGGGCCUCCGAUUCCACCAGUGGCUGGUUCCACAGAGACGGCGCCUUCCCUGCUCAGAUGCUCGAACACCUUGGCGCGAAGGGCACGCCCGGACUCCACCCUCUGCACGGGCUCCUCCUCGCCGCCGCCGAAGGAGACAUCAAGCGGCUCCAGGUUGGCCAUGAAGCCGCCGCCCAUGGUCGUCGGGGUGGAGGGCAGGCUGUAGAGCCCAGCCGCCGUGGGCGACCCGUACGCGACGGCGGAGGACGGGUAGCCAGCCCACCCGCCGGACGGGGAGGAGUUGGCCUUGCUGAGGCGGAGCUGGCGGAGCGAGGCGAGGAC